AUUGAACGCUGGCGGCAGGCCUAACACAUGCAAGUCGAACGAGUGGCGGACGGGUGAGUAAUGUCUGGGAAACUGCCUGAUGGAGGGGGAUAACUACUGGAAACGGUCGCUAAUACCUCAUACCAUCAGAUGUGCCCAGAUGGGAUUAGCUAGUUGGUGGGGUAAUGGCUCACCAAGGCGACGAUCCCUAGCUGGUCUGAUAGGAUGACCAGCAACACUGGAACUGAGACACGCUAAAGACCCCUACGGGAGGCAGAAGUGGGGAAAAUUGCACAAUGGGCGCAAGCCUGAUGCAGACAUGCCGCGUGUAUGAAGAAGGACUUCGGGUGGUAAAGUACUUUCAGCGGGGAGGCGGUACCCGCAGAAGAAGCACCGGCUAACUCCGUGCCAGCAGCCGCGGUAAUUC
rnacentral:rRNA from 1 species